rnacentral:rRNA from 1 species
GACGAACCGUGCAAACGUUGUUCGGAAUCACUGGGCUUAAAGGGCGCGUAGGCGGGGGACCAAGUCCGGGGUGAAAUCUUUCGGCUCAACCGGAAAACUGCCUUGGAUACUGGUCUUCUUGAGGGAGGUAGGGGCAGGUGGAACUUCCGGUGGAGCGGUGAAAUGCGUUGAUAUCGGAAGGAACGCCGGUGGCGAAAGCGACCUGCUGGAUCUCUUCUGACGCUGAGGCGCGAAAGCUAGGGGAGCGAACGGGG